CCCUGACCUUCAAAAGCCUGCCGUUUCUUUUCAAGGUUUCUCUUCUUUGACAGGUGGACUGGCUUUUGUCAAUUACUUUCAUUAAUGCAUUUUUUUCAUUAUGAUCAAUUACCUGUGCUUUAGUCUUUGUCUCAAAAUUACAGCAAAGCAGGUUCCAAAUAGAAAAACUGAAACAGUUUUCCUUACUUUUUCCCUUUUUUGUUGCCCCAAGGUACUCUGAAGUGCUGGAACAUUUAACUCACAGUGAAGAAAUACUUCCCAGCUUCUGCUCAACAUCAGCGUCAGCUGCUUGGUUAGGAGAUUCUGGCCAGUGCACAAGGAGCCGCGGGAGCCCUUCAGUGAUUACGGAACACUGCCCAAGUCCUGAAACACCUACUUUUCCCACAGAUGGCAUCUGCAAAGCUGCACCACGGGGACGGUGCCUGCCAUUUUUGCAGGCAAAGCUUUGGAAAUGUGAAGCGGGAGUCCGAAGAAAAUGCCUAUAUUCAUGAGUGAUGGAAUAAGAUGGAAUAGUUGCAAUGAAUAGCAAGUUCUUUACUGCAAGAAAACAAAUAUCUGGUCUGGGUCUCAACGGCUACUUAUUAAGCAAUAGCUGUUCAUUAGUACUCGAUGCCGCUAUGCAACAAUAGCUAUGCGCCUGCGCAUGUGACCGAAUGAACCCGGAAGCUCUGAAAGCUGGGAAAGUACCUGUGCAGUCAAAGAAGGAUUUAGAAGACAGAAGAACCGACCAGAAGGAGGGCAGGCAGCCCAUGACACAGAGCCUCGUGCACAGCGCAUGACCGAGGCUGUGAUUGGACAGAAGUUACAAAACCAGCACGUGUCGCGGAUGUGGUCAGGUGUACGAGUAUAAUACUGGGAGCGUCCCAGGGAAUAAACGAGAUCUGCUUCCACCGCA
rnacentral:lncRNA from 1 species